rnacentral:rRNA from 1 species
UACAGAGGGGGCAAGCGUUGUUCGGAAUUACUGGGCGUAAAGGGCGCGUAGGCGGCCGCCUAAGUCAGACGUGAAAUCCCUCGGCUCAACCGGGGAACUGCGUCUGAUACUGGGUGGCUUGAAUCCGGGAGAGGGAUGCGGAAUUCCAGGUGUAGCGGUGAAAUGCGUAGAUAUCUGGAGGAACACCGGUGGCGAAGGCGGCAUCCUGGACCGGCAUUGGCGCUGAGGCGCGAAAGCCAGGGGAGCAAACGGG